rnacentral:rRNA from 1 species
CGCCUGGGGAGUACGGGUGAGGUAACGGCUCACCAAGGCAUCGACGGGUAGCUGGUCUGAGAGGGUGACCGGCCACACUGGGACUGAGACACGGCCCAGACUCCUACGGGAGGCAGCAGUGGGGAAUAUUGCACAAUGGGCGCAAGCCUGAUGCAGCAACGCCGCGUGAGGGAUGACGGCCUUCGGGUUGUAAACCUCUUUUAGCAGGGAAGAAGCGAAAGUGACGGUACCUGCAGAAAAAGCACCGGCUAACUACGUGCCAGCAGCCGCGGUAAUACGUAGGGUGCAAGCGUUGUCCGGAAUUAUUGGGCGUAAAGAGCUCGUAGGCGGUUUGUCACGUCUGCUGUGAAAAUCCAAGGCUCAACCUUGGACUUGCAGUGGGUACGGGCAGGCUAGAGUGCGGUAGGGGAGAUGGGAAUUCCUGGUGUAGCGGUGGAAUGCGCAGAUAUCAGGAGGAACACCAAUGGCGAAGGCACAUCUCUGGGCCGUAACUGACGCUGAGGAGCGAAAGCGUGGGGAGCGAACAGGAUUAGAUACCCUGGUAGUCCACGCCGUAAACGGUGGGUGCUAGCUGUGGGCCACAUUCCACGUGGUCCGUGACGAAGUUAACACAUUAAGCACCCCGCCUGGGGAGUACGG